GACGAACGCUGGCGGCGUGCUUAACACAUGCAAUUCGAACGAGUGGCGAACGGGUGAGUAAUACGUGAGUAACCUGCCCUCUUUUUGGGAUAAGCCUUGGAAACGGGGUCUAAUACCGGAUAGCAGGGGAUGGGCUAGCGGCCUAUCAGCUUGUUGGUGGGGUGAUGGCCUACGAAGGCGGUGACGGGUAGCCGGCCUGAGAGUGUGACCGGCGACAUUGGAACUGAGAUGCGGCGCAGAAUCCGACGGGGGGGGGCAGUGUGAGAUAUUGCACAAUGGGCGAAAGCCUGAUGCAGCGACGCAGCGUUGGUGAUGAAGGCUUUCGGGUUGUAAACCUCUUUCGCUAUCGAACGGGUAGGUGCAGAAGAAGCACCGGCUAACUACGUGCCAGCAGCCGCGGUAAUUC
rnacentral:rRNA from 1 species